rnacentral:rRNA from 1 species
GUGGGGAAUAUUGGACAAUGGGCGAAAGCCUGAUCCAGCCAUGCCGCGUGUGUGAAGAAGGUCUUCGGAUUGUAAAGCACUUUAAGUUGGGAGGAAGGGCAGUAAGUUAAUACCUUGCUGUUUUGACGUUACCGACAGAAUAAGCACCGGCUAACUUCGUGCCAGCAGCCGCGGUAAUACGAAGGGUGCAAGCGUUAAUCGGAAUUACUGGGCGUAAAGCGCGCGUAGGUGGUUUUGUAAGUUGGAGGUGAAAUCCCCGGGCUCAACCUGGGAACUGCCUCCAAAAAUGAAUGACUAGAGUACGGUAGAGGGUAGUGGAAUUUCCUGUGUAGCGGUGAAAUGCGUAGAUAUAGGAAGGAACACCAGUGGCGAAGGCGACUACCUGGACUGAUACUGACACUGAGGUGCGAAAGCGUGGGGAGCAAACAGGAUUAGAAACCCCGGUAGUCC